rnacentral:rRNA from 1 species
UACGAGGGGGGCGAGCGUUGUUCGGAAUUAUUGGGCGUAAAGGGUGCGUAGGCGGUUCCGCAAGUCCUGUGUGAAAUCUUCGGGCUCAACUCGAAGUCUGCACGGGAAACUGCGGGGCUUGAGUGUGGGAGAGGUGAGUGGAAUUCCCGGUGUAGCGGUGAAAUGCGUAGAUAUCAAGUGGAACACCAGUGGCGAAGGCGAGUCUCUGGACAUUUCCUGACGCUGAGGCACGAAAGCCAGGGGAGCAAACGGG